AGUGAACGCUGGCGGUAGGCCUAACACAUGCAAGUCGAACGGCAGCACAGUAAGAGCUUGCUCUUACGGGUGGCGAGUGGCGGACGGGUGAGGAAUACAUCGGAAUCUACUUUUUCGUGGGGGAUAACGUAGGGAAACUUACGCUAAUACCGCAUACGACCUACGGGUGAAAGCAGGGGAUCUUCGGACCUUGCGCGAUUGAAUGAGCCGAUGUCGGAUUAGCUAGUUGGCGGGGUAAAGGCCCACCAAGGCGACGAUCCGUAGCUGGUCUGAGAGGAUGAUCAGCCACACUGGAACUGAGACACGGUCCAGACUCCUACGGGAGGCAGCAGUGGGGAAUAUUGGACAAUGGGCGCAAGCCUGAUCCAGCCAUACCGCGUGGGUGAAGAAGGCCUUCGGGUUGUAAAGCCCUUUUGUUGGGAAAGAAAAGCGGCAGGUUAAUACCCCGCUGUUCUGACGGUACCCAAAGAAUAAGCACCGGCUAACUUCG
rnacentral:rRNA from 1 species